GGAACUUCCUGUGCUUCCAUGUCACACGUGGCAACUGCCCAGAGAAAAUCUACUGUGAUAUGAAGAGGCCCUCCUUUUCAAGGACUUACCAGCAGCCCUGGCUAACUGGGGAGGUUCCGGUGGUCUGGAGGUUGGCCAAUAUAGCACCCAUCUACAAGAAAGGCCAGAAGAAGGAUUCAGGGAACUAUGGGCCUAUCAGCCUGACCUCAGUCCUGGGAAAGGUCAUGGAGAAAAUCUUCCUGAGUGCCAUCACAUGGCAUGUGCAGGACAGCCAGGGGAUCAGGUCUAGACAGCAUGGAUUUAGGAAAAGCACGUCCUGCUUAACCAGCUUGAUCUCCCGCUUUGAUUAAGUGACUCAUUAUUCAGUGGGGGAAAGGCUGCAGAUGCUCCCUGAGUGAACUUUAGUAAAGCCUUUGACACUGCUUCCCACAGCAUUCUCCUGAAGAAACUGGCUGUGUCUUGUGUGAAUGAGUUCUCUCUUCUUUGGGUAGAAAACUGGCUGGAUGGCCAGGCCCAGAGUGACCAUGAAUGGAGUUAGAUUCAUCUGGAGCCCACUCAUUAGCAGUGUUCUCCAGGGCUCAGUGUUAGAAGCAUUCUUGUUUAACGUCUUUACUGAUGAUAUGCAUGAACGUACCUCAGAAAGUUCACCCCAGUAAGAUAACACCAAGUUGGAUGAAGUGUUGAUCUGCUGAAGGGCAGGAAGGCUCUGCAGAGGUGUUAGCGUUCUGGAACACAUAAUCAUGGAAUGAUUAUGUACAGGCCCCUCUCUACAAGAAAGACAUUGAGGAGCUGGUGCAUGUCCAGAGAAGUGUAACAGAGCCUGUGAAGGGUCUGGAGAAAAGACUGGUGAGGAGCAGAUGAGGGAGCUGGGGUUGUCUAGCCUGGAGAAAAGGAGGCUCAGGGGAGACCUUAUCAUUCUCUACAAGUACCUGAAAGCAGGUUGUGGCCAGAUGUGUGGUUGGUCUCCUCUAUCAGGCAACUAGUGACAGGACUAGAAGAAAUGGCCUCAGGUUGCAGAAGAAGAGGUUUAGAUUGGAUAUUAGGAAAAAUUUCUUCACUAAAAGCAUUAUCAAGCAUUGGAGAAGACUGCCCAAAGUGAUUGAAUCACCAUCUUUGGAGGUUUUUAAAGAAUGUGUAUAUGCUGCACUUGGGACAUGGUUUUAGUGAUGGAUUUGGCAAUGAUACAUUUGGACACAAUGAUCUUAGACUUCUUUUCCAACUUGAAUUAUUCCAUUUUUCUAUAAUAUGUAAUUUGGAGCUUUUUAUUAAUUUUUUAAUACAUUAUGCAUGUGGAGUCACUGUGAAGGUCAAGACAAAAGUAAAAAGGAGUAACUAGUAUACCCUUUGCAAAUAUCUGAGGUGCUUCUGGAUAUUUCUGUGAAAAAAAAAAAAAAAAAAACAACAAAAAAAACCUUUUUGUGAGCUCAUUUUUACCUGCAUCUAUAGAACUUUGUAGUGAAACCUUUCCCCAAAACCAAAAAGCUCUUUUACCCAAACAACCAGCAAAGGCCACUGUAGGAAGAUAUCAAGAUUGACUCCCAGAUAUGUAAGAGCACCAUGGCUGUGUCUAGAAAGAAGCCCUACAUCCUGCACUCAUUGUCACCUAGACUUUCUCCAGCAGAUCCUCACUGCAAAACUUGGUCUCCAGAGCAACCAAGAUCAGCCUGGAUAUUUAUCUCAUUUCUAGGCCAUUAUUUUGUAUUUGCCUUCCCCCGUACUCUUUUAGGUAUGAUUCUUGCUUUGAUUCACUUAAAAUCAGCCUAGAUGUGUUGUCUGGGAUGUGCCACUUGUUCUGUUAUGGCCAUUUGUCUUUCACUAUACUCUCCUUUGCAGGUUUGAACUUCAUCUAGGUCUCUUUCUUGCUCAAGUAUUAUGUAUGCAUUCUAAAAAUUUAAAACUCCUAAGAUCUUCUCUGUCCUACAUAUUGUACAUCAUAUUACAUCCAUGUUUCCCCCAACCUCUUUUCAGAGAAGUAUCAGCCUUGUUAUGAAGCCCAGCAGUGAAAUACUUGGAUAAACUGAUAACAAAGCACAGCUAUUGGAUCCACUCUGUGGACCUUUUUGCAACCAGCUUUCUUAACUCCCUGUCUUCAUCACUGCUAUAAUCAGUUUUAGAGGUAUAUAGGUAAUUCUGAAAAUGAAACUGUGUAUGUUUGAUAUAUGUAUAGUCCAAAUGUACAGAAGGGCAAAAGAGCUUAAUGAGAAGAUAGUUUUAUAUUCCCUCUUAGGGAAUAGAAAAUAACCCUAAACACAUAGUCAAAAAAGAUUGAGAAAAGAUUUUUUCAAAACAUAGAGCUUGUUACGCAGAUGUUUCAUAACCUCUCAGAAAUAUUUAUCUAUAUGUCUGUCAACAUGCAUGCAUAAAAUAUAGCUAUAACUUCCAAAAUUAAAAUUCAUGUUUAUUUUAUUUAUAAAAAUAAUUUUAUUUACAUAAUCUUUCAAACUAACAGAAUAACAACUGCAAAAUUUCCCUUGCCACAACGUAUCUUGUCAUUAAUGUGUGUACAUCAUCAAACCAACGUCUCUUAAGAUGCACUAACAAAAUAUACCAUCAAAAUUGUAUUGCUUAGAAGAUAUAUAUCUCAAAUAUAAGUCCAAUUGGCAAUAAAGAAUAUAUUCAGAUAUUUAACUUUUUUUCUGUGUGUUUCAGAUAACUUAGGUUAUUUGAAUAUGUAGUUGAAGUUUAGAAUGCUACUAGAUCUCAAAAAAUGCUCAAUUGUACUUCAAUAUGUGAAAAUUGAUUUUCCAAAAUAUUGUUAUUUAUUUUUACUAGUUAUUCAAUGUAUUAGUAGUCUUUUUAUUUGUUUUUAUUCUUCAUUUUAAGAGUGUUCAGACACAUGUUGAUUAAAUUGUAUAAUUUUCUUUCUCAUAUAUGAUAAACGUGAUUUGAAGCUAACACUGUCAAAUUGCAUUCCCAGUUUAAACCUUUGUUCAAAAAAACUGUUCAUGAAGUUUCACAUUGUAUUACAUUAUUACAAGACAUUACUUUUAGUAUCAGUGGUAUCUGUCCAAGUGAAUCUACCACAAAAUGCAUUAUUGAUUAGGGUUUAAUAAAUAAUUUGUUACAAUGGAUUUAUUUUUAAAAAAUAGCCUAUUUUCUACAUGUGGAAGAUCUUCCAGCAAAGAAAUAAACAA